UGCCAGCAGCCGCGGUAAUACGGAGGAGGCAAGCGUUGUUCGGAAUUACUGGGCUUAAAGCGUGUGUAGGCGGGAUAGUAGGUAUCGUGUGAAAGCCCUCGGCUCAACCGAGGAACGGCAAGGUAAACCACUAUUCUUGAGGCCAGCAGGGGAACCUGGAACUUUGGGUGGAGCGGUGAAAUGCGUAGAUAUCCAAGGGAACGCCGGUGGCGAAAGCGGGGUUCUGGGCUGGUUCUGACGCUGAGUGACGAAAGCUAGGGGAGCGAACGGGAUUAGAUA
rnacentral:rRNA from 1 species